rnacentral:lncRNA from 1 species
CCUUGAUGUAGAUGUCUCAUAGCUCACAAAGGAGCAGGGCUAUUUAAAUAUUCAGGGAGCAAGCAGUGCCAGUGAGAGCAGAAGAGACCUUCCCCUUUAAAUGGGUGAAGGCCCAAUCUGCUCCAAAUGUAAAGAGGGAAAGGAGACAAGAAACCUGCUGUGGAAUAGGGUACGUGGCAAAACUCAAAGAGAGAUCUGAGAAGGACAGAAAGCAGGCAAAUCUCAAAAAUGUCUACUACUAAAAAAUCUGGGAAAAUUAUUAGUAAUAAAAUGAAAAAUGGAGCAGUAAUGCAAAAUCCCAUUGCUCUGCCCCGUUAUUGUGGCCCAAUUUCUGAUUAGAAGGAUUGGCAGUUCAUAUCAAUCAAACCUUUAAUUUUUUCUUCCCUUAUUUUUCCCGUUCUCCUCCUACGAUUAAGUUACAAGGAAUUUAUUUUAUUACUUAGGCACAAGUACAGUUUGAAAAAAAAAAAAAUAACAAUAAGGUAAUUUUUGUCUUUUUUCUCAUCAUGAAAUUAUUAUUCCUGGGGUUUUCUGUACCUACAGUGGGAAUAGGAGCCAAGACUCUCCUGUCAGAGCUUGCUACUAAUCCAUCAUGGUGUUGGAGAGUGAGAGGAUAGGCAGUGGUGAACAUGUUCCAGAUUGAAUAUAAGGAGAUAUAAAUUGAAUUCAUGGUUGCAUUUAUAAGGACAUAUCUGAUAAGGGCUUUGGGCCUUUGGGAGAGAGUGAGCGUUUCUCUUCAUAACACUGUAACCUUAAUCUACAGAGGAUCUUCCUUACGUUUUUUCUUAAAAUUUAACUGCGGAGCCUUAAUGGAUGUCACAUUUAGANNNNNNNNNNNNNNNNNNNNNNNNNNNNNNNNUGUGCAAAGCUGUUUGUCUCCCAGUCAGAGGCAAAUGGGAACGGCUGCUGGCAUGCCAAAGCAUUGCACUGAAGGAGACAGUCUGCAGGUAUUAGCUGGAGUGGCAAGAGCAUGGUCUGCCAAGGAACUUCUUCUGGAUAUGUCAUAUAGCAGGCAGAUGACAUUCUUCCAGAAGGUCUGAUGUCAGAUGCGCAGCAGCUCCGGCUAUGAUGUCACGCUGAGCACUCUGCAGCAGCCGGCACAGAAUGUGCGUGAGACCUGGCAGGCUGCUAGAUGGUGGCUCCCACGCUCUCUUACACUUGCAAGUUCUGAAUUUUCUUUUUGCGCAACCAUAUGAGAAUUCUUGCUAUGAGUUAAAGGAAAAGAGUUUUCUCAACUAAUAAAAAUCACAAGAAUGACA